rnacentral:sRNA from 1 species
GCCCGCUUGCCAAUUUCUCAGCGCUUUACAGUAACUGCUGCCUGACUUGAAGGCGAUACAGCCCAAAUGAGUGUGGUCAUCAUCCCCGACUAGAAAUUUUUGUCACUUAUGGAAACACCUUGAAAACAAUGUUGUUGGUGAUGAUUGUUGACUUCUCAUUGGAUUAACUGGUGAGUGUUUACUUUGGCCAGUUCGCUGUUUCUACCAGAAAAGCGCACAGAGAGACUGGUACUAUGGAUAAGACAGCCAAAAAAGUUCACACUGAAAGCUCAACAGACAGUGGUGUUCUCAAAGAAUGCAAGAAGAAAUACAAUGUGACUUAAGUGAUCAAAUAAACUGAACAACACCAUCAAAAGGUGUUCAGACUACCCCUUCAUUGAGAAUGGUUGUAAUUGUUGUGGAUCUUGUUCAGAACAGAGGCGCAAUACAGAUUUUCAAGAAAGAAAGUGGGGAAUAUGUUGAUGGAGUUGGGACGGAGGAGGAAGGCUUCCGGGUCAUUAUACCAUGGUGAGACACUUGGCGCUUCAGAGCAUCAGGCGUCGUUGAAGUGGGAUAUAUAACAGUGAAGGAUGGAGAUUAAUUUGGCGGUUAGUCCCAUGUUGCCAAGGGAUGGUGUAAGAUCAAUCGAUCCGUCAGCUCGUUACUGACUGGGAUUGUGACAAAAGAUGUCGUGUUCACUCCGUAUGUGUCUGUGAGCCAUAUUACGCCAGAUAUCUGACCUGAUUCUAUGAUAUCUCGAAUAUCUUGCAAGUUGAGCUCGUAGACAUCUCCAGUGAAAGGGACUUCAGUUCCAGUUAGCCAUUUAACAUCCACUUUGUGCUGAGGCCAUACCUGUGUCAUGCUGUUUCUCGGGCUGAGAAGUAGACAAAUCUGGAGAUGGGACUGCAGGAGGUCCUUCAACAUGUUAGCCCACUGCAUGGCCCAUGGGAUUAGAAGUCAUACCAAAGGUCCGUGGACCAACUUGGUAGCUCCCUUGAGCCUGCUCGUGACGCUCGGAGAGAUCAUGACACCGUUCCACCGCCGGUUGGUAAGCUCGUGGGUUCACAGUUUCAAACCGCCAAAUAACCUUGUCCAAUCAGCC